rnacentral:tRNA from 1 species
AUUCUAAUAGCUUAAGGUUAGAGCGUGGCUCUGAAGAAGCCAAAGUAGACUUGUUUUUUAGGAUA